GGGAGAUGAAAGUUUAAGGAUAAAACCCUUAAUUGGACAAAAUGGAUUUCGGCAGCCGAAAGUUAAACUUUCAGUAGCCAAAAGUCCCCUUUUUGAGAUGGAUAUAAAUAGGCCUAGGUAAACAAAAAUUAGCUAUAAUUCUUUAAUUUUUCUUUACCUGGUAUGUUUAACACUCAAAUCUCAAUUCCCUUUUAUUCAUUAGUCUUCCUG
rnacentral:misc_RNA from 1 species